UAAUGGCCACCAGAUGGAGCUAUAGGAUUACUUUAAAAAAUUAUUGUAGAAACUAGUAUGAUUUAAAUCAUUUAUAGAAAUCUUUCAAAGAAAAAUAAUAUGUAUUUUACUGAUGAAAUGACCCUCACUUAAUUAGAAUAACAUGCUGAAGUAUUGUGAAAUACUGUAUAUUAAGAAUAGUUCUUUAUAGGCUUUAUGGACAGAUAAGUUUUGAGUGACUCUUGAAGGAUCAGCACCACAUCCUCUUUUACCACUGUUUAAAGAAUUUAUCUUACAGAACAGGUGCGAAUGAAUUUUGGAUAGCUUGAAUGGUUUUGUCCUGGUGAUUUUUUGAAAUAACAGUAAAAAAUGAACCAGUAAAUGUCUCUAAUUUUUUUAAAGUGCAGCUUCUAAACACUUCAAAAAAAUGUACACAUAGAAGACAAGUCAUUCUGAGGAAAUAUGCAUAGUUUCAUGACUAUACAACACUAUAUGUUCUAGAUGUAUAACUAUCAUACAUCUGAUGUCACUCUGUCCCUCUGUCACUGUGGGUAAUGUGUGUGUGUGUGUGUGUGUGUGUGUGUGUGUGUGUGUGUGUGUGUGUAAUUAGGUGUGAAACUAUCAGGGAGCAUUUAGUCUCCAGCGCCAACAUUUUACAGAACUGCCACUUUCCUGGAGUCUC